CUCUUUCUUUCUCCAAAUUUAGUUUUUCAGUGAUUAGACUCUUAGAUCUCAAAGAUGUUGGUUGGGCCCCAUUCUCCUCAAUCAUGUAUUCAAGUAAUUUUCCCCCUCUCUCCCUCUCUUCAAUCUCCACUUCUUUUUCAGGAAGGUUCAACCUCUCUCUAAUAUAUCCCCUAUUGUAUGAUCCAUUUCUUUGGCCUUUCUUUCUCUCCGAUCUUCUGUGCUGUUGUUUGGGCCUUGUUCACCUCAAUCUUGUAUUCAAGUUAAAUUGAUUGGAUAUCCCCUUGUUUUCCUCAAGUUCAGACAAAGUUAUAAAUGAGAAUGAGAUUUGUAAAUGGUAGAAAUACAGCCAUGUUUCUGGUUGAUCAGCAAACCAAUCAACCAGACCGACCGCACUGCAUCUGCAUGUUUGGCGGGCCUAAAGCAAAUUAGGCCAACCUGUCUGCACAAAAUUUUCAAAAGGACGGUGCGGUUUAAUAAAAAUGAGCACCAAUGACGUCGGUGCGGUGCAAAAAGAAGGACCAAAAAGCCAAUUGCACCUCACGGAUUACACCACCAUGCAUGAGCUUAAGACUGCACCUUAAGCUCCUCACACUUAUCUUAGAAAGAAAGAUUAAUCAUACUAUUUGAUUUUCUUUCUAGGCUGAAACCGCAAAAUUGUAAAAAGGAAUUGAUUUUAUUAAAAAUCUAAAACCUUCCUUACAACUUACACAUUCCUUACAACUUACCCAAGAGCUCUGUAGCCUGAAUAGCACUUCUCUAUGUUUUUAUUCUCUUUAGCCAUUGUAGCUAUUAAAUUAUCAAAAAAAAACCUUCCCUACGA